rnacentral:rRNA from 1 species
CCUACGGGAGGCAGCAGUAGGGAAUCUUUCACAAUGGGCGAAAGCCUGAUGGAGCAACGCCGCGUGCAGGAUGAAGGCCUUCUGGUUGUAAACUGCUUUUAUAAGCGAGAAAUAUGAUGGUAACUUAUGAAUAAGGAUCGGCUAACUACGUGCCAGCAGCCGCGGUCAUACGUAGGAUCCGAGCAUUAUCCGGAGUGACUGGGUGUAAAGAGUUGCGUAGGUGGCAUAAUAAGUAGCUAGUGAAAUCUGGUGGCUCAACCAUUCAGACUAUUAGCUAAACUGUUAAGCUCGAGACCGGUAGGGGUAAGUGGAAUUUCUAGUGUAGGAGUGAAAUCCGUAGAUAUUAGAAGGAACACCAAUAGCGUAGGCAGGUUACUGGGACGGUUCUGACACUAAGGCACGAAAGCGUAGGGAGCAAACGGGAUUAGAUACCCCAGUAGUC